GAAAAGAGACCGAAAAAGCCUAUGAUGCUAUAUUUUUGGAGGAGAUAACUGUUGAGAAAUUUAAAGAAGCUGUGUCGUUAAGAUACGAACUAACAGUGGACUCCAUAAAAAGUAUUUCACUCCGGAAGAAAUCUGGAACCGGGUUUUCCCGACAAUGAAGUUUGCAGAAUUACAUUUUUUUWAAUAUUUUUUUUACUAAACUGUACUCAUUAAACUUGCCAUCAUUCAAGUUUGUCCUGAUUCAAAUGCUUGUCCAAAAUCAUGUCCAAAAUCAUGUAUCUUUUACUGAUACGUGACUGCAUUAUUAAAAAUAUCUCAAUGACUGAAAUAUCAGACUUACCACUUUGUUUUACGUCACUGACAUUUGUUGAAAAGGGUAAAGUCCGAGUGUCAACUUUAUUUGCUUUCUCUAAAUAUGGUGAUCGGAUGAUACCAAGAAACUCUCCUUACAAAAUACAAGAACAAAAGGCUUAGGCUUUUAUCACACAGCAAAUGAAAUUUGACUCUAAUAUUGGUAAAAAUGAUCACUGUACCUUUGAUUUUGAAUGGUUUUCCCAAAUAAGGCUUUGGAGUCAGAAUUGCAAAAUUCAAAUAUACAUUCUUUGAACAAACUUUUACAAUUUUUGUGUGGAAAAGUAGUCACAAUCGUUUUUGCGAUUUAGUGAUGUUGGAUAGCUGUGUGAUAGUGUGCUAGAACAGCAGGUUAGGAAUUUAGUUUAAAACAAGUGGCUUUGUGUGAGAUYUUGUGAGAAUUUUUUCCCUGCUUUYGUUCCUUCCUUGUCAUGCAAAGCUGCUACCAGUUCAAUUGGAGACAUGAACAAUUUGGUAGAAGAAAUUCCCAGAGAUAUACAGUGUAUUUAUGAUUGAGGCACAUUUGUGAAAAUUUGACUUUAUUUCUUUAUUUCUAAAAGUAUUGUUGGAUGUCUCCAGUUACAAUUCAGCUGAAUAGUAAAAAGGUCUGUUUUGCAUAGAUCCCAACCAAAGUCCCUACUGAGGUUUUCACUGUCCCRACAAAGCUAGCAUCAUUCUUAAUAGUUGUAGUGUUAACACUUUGGGUGGUUUGGUGCAUGACGAUAUGGUAGGACAGUAAUCAUCCACAUUAUUUUAGUCUAUUACUUUUAUAAUUUGGUUGGUUUUCUUGUUACCUAAAAAAWUAAAUAAUAAAUAAAUUUUAAAAAUGGMCAAAACAAAGUAAAUCAAAAACUUUCAAUUGUGUUUUUUUUACUUUCCUAUCAUUUUGAUAUCCUGGGAAACAUGAAAAACAGGAAGCCCCAAAACUGAGGUUUUGGACAACCUUUUCAUUAUAGCCAUGUUGAGUGACAAAGCAACAGCAUCUCAUUCUCAGAAGAAUCAAAUUCUGUUUGAAAUGUUUCUGCCAUUCAACAGGGCUGCAGCCCCUCUCAAAAGUGUACUGUAGAAGUAUAGAUAGAAAAAAACUAGAAAAGCACGUAGACAGCAUAGCAUAGCAUUUUGUUAUGUAUGCAUUAAUAUGUCCAAGGACGUCUUACACAACAGUGCUGAUGCAGCAUCUAUUCAGUGAAAUGUUCUAGAUGAUGCCAAGGUUCCCACAUCCAUUAUGAGGGUAAAUGAAAAAAAAGCCAAGAGCAUGCAAAUGUUGUGAUAUUCUAAUAAAGAAUAAUUAGAUUGUGCACAAAUAAUGAAUGUAUAGUCUUGUGAUGCAUUGAUUCUGAUCUAAAAAUAACCUGAAAAUAUGCCAAAAAUUAUCCUCCAAUUAUUCACUCUGUAUUGUUCAUUCUUAUAAUAUUAUUGAUCAGGAUAAAGCACAUUUAAUCAAAGUGUGACUGUAUCAUAAUAAAAAAAACCCUCUGUCUAGCUUUGUUUUUGGCUACUUUUCAAUUCAACUCAAUCAGGAAACAAUAGUGGUGAUUACAGUUAUUUGUUCUAAAAAGGACAAGUGCUUCCAAGACUGUGCAUCCAUUUUACCUGCAGUCUCCUGUGAUAGAUUAUAGUAUUUAUUAUAUUUUUUGUGAAAACCUCUUGGAUUAAGCAGUUUUGCAUAAUUAAGAUGACAAUUUGGCAACAUUUUGCAUCUUCCGUUUUGAAAUUUGGGGCUUGGGUCAUAUUUGUUUUGAAAGUGAUAAAUUUUUAGUACAGUGCAUGUACAUUCAAGUAAUAAGAUUCGUUUAGCUAGUUUAUUUACCAAAAUACAAAAGGCUUUAAUUCUUCUGAUCUAUUUUUGCAUAGUAUAUAAAAUUUAUCACAACCUUAACAACUUAUUGGAAUAUGAUAGGUCUACUUCAAGAGAAUAAUCAAUCAAAGCAUUCAUGUUGUCUUGAAAAAGUAACCAGCUUUUGAAAAAGGAUUCUAAAUAUGAUUGUUUCCGUGUAAGAUAGCAUGUGUUUUGAUUAYAAUAGCUGCAGUAGACCUCAUCAAAGUUGUUUUUCUCAUUCAAUUAGCACUGCUGUUUCAGUUACCAUAGGCUCAUUUGUACAGUUUUAACCUUGCUUACUUUUAAAAUUGUUUGCACAGUGUUCUUUUUUUAUCUUAUGAAUACUGCACUUUAAAAGAAGACUAAAUACRUACCAAAUGAGUCUGCAGUAAAAAACCACAAUGCUUUAUUGAAUAGGAAAUGGGACUAUUUAGGGAAACCUCACUUGGACUAGGACAUCAUUCCUCAGGGUUAACGAUGAUACCACCUUUAUUGUCUUGAGAGACAAUACAUUUAAUUUGACCACAAGUAUUUCCUUUCAAAAGAGUUUUUUGGCAGAGUUUUUUAAGUCAGUGCCAAAAACAUUUAGUAGGUUCAUAUCCAUUGUUGGCAGUUGAAAAAACAUGCCAUGUUACUGAUUACAACUUAAGUCUUUUAAUUCUCUUGCUUGAAUCACCUUAGUAGUUCAUUUAAAGUCUGUGAUCUGGUGUGUUUUCAUUUAACACCUUGGAGAAUGAUGCUCUAGACUUCUGCCCUUUCCUUAUCAAGUUGUGUAGUUCCAGAAAUGAUCUAUACCCACUCCACAGAGGAAUUUGGAAUUUCUGAAGGGUGGGGGUCAGAGAAAGAUCAGAAAUUACAGAGUUUGUAUGGAAGAAAAUUGGAAUUUCCAGGGGUAGGGGAGGUCUUAAAAAAUUUCUUCCUGUGGAGGUAAGGAUAAUUUCUGGAACUACACAUUUAUCAUGAGUUUUACUAUUUACUACAGCCAAUUUUAGCUUUGAGGUCUUUAAUUUUGCUUUUUUCUAAAAAUAAGAGUAACCUCAAGGUUUUAAUUGACUGUAGAACUUUUACCAUUAAAGGAAACUUAACCAAGGAUGAACUGUUUAAUCCAAGAAGAUUUUUCACAUAAUAUAAUAUGCACAGUUAUUUCAUUUUCUCAUCUUAUUGUUCKUUACAGCUCCCUUAUAGAAAUAGAUGAUCAAACUGUAAAGAAAUUUAUUGAUGAAGAGGACUUUAUCAUAUCUUUGGACUAUGACAGCGCUGAAGGAACCUGUAAAAUCACUCUAAGCCGCCCCCCUUCCAGAUGACAAAAAAAACCACAACUAUCUGGUUGGGAGUUGCCUAAAAUCUAUGUCAAGAUGAUGAUAGAAACAAGAAGGUUCUUUCCUAAUCCAUGUGGAUUCUUGUUUUAGCAGUGUGACAGAUCAAAGAAAGAUUCCAGUACAUUUUGUGGAUGGAGGGCUAUAGCUGUAUAAUUCUGGAGCUYACCUUUCCUUCAGCUAUUAAUUUUGGUGAUCAUAUUAGAAACCAAAUAACAGUAGAGACAUUUUUGGACAAAUUACAGUAUAUGUAUUUAUUAAAAUAAGUAUUCAUCAGAAGUAUUGUUUUUCGAUAAGAAAAUAUUCAUCACAAAAUGAAUGUCAAAGACACUACAAAGUAAUUUAAUUAUUGAUAGGUACAUAUUGUAUAGUGGUGCACAUUCGGCGUUAAGUUGUUUUCUUUUGACAAUUUUGCUUGAGUUUCCUCCAUCAAAGAACUUAUUUUUAGAGCAUUUAUUAUCAGGCAAAUGAAGAURAAAGAAGUUAAUGUCAAA